AAAAAAAAUAAAAACGUUUCCUCUAUUGUUGUGUAAAAGACACACACACACACACACACACACGGGAAAACUGUACAUAAACUGCUUAUAUCAAAUCCUGUGACGUGCACAAAGCAAACAAUAAAAGAUUUUUUCGUUAACUAUCUCUGAGGUAGUAAUUUUAGAUGUUACUAGUAACAGUUCAUAAAAAUAAAAAUAAUCCAGACAUAAGUAUGAUUAAAUAGUCCCUUUAACUAAUGUUGCAGAUUCUAUAGAAGCACAAGAUAUGUUCCUGUGGGGUCAGAAUAGUGGCUAUUCGAACAAAAACUUUAGCAGCAGGAAGAGUACACAGCCAGCACCUAUGCUUUAAAGUAAAUAUUUAUAAUCUGUGUUCUUAGUUCCUAUUACCAUGCUAUCUGAGCACUUCCCAAAAUGAUGGGAGUGUACACAGAAUUUACAAUAUUCUUCUGAUUAUAAAAUUUUUAUAGUAGACUGUCACAAGGAAGCAUACAUUUUGGGACUAGAAUUUUCUGGAUUUUCUAUGCUAUUAUGGACGUAUUUUGGUUUUGAAUAAGGAUGAUUCUCUCAUAGCCCAGUUUCUCUGUUUGAUCUUGCAACAAAGUCAAAACACUGUUUAAUAUUGGUCUUCUGCUUUGGCAAGAGCUUCAGCAUUAUGGCUUCAAUACAGAAACAGAAAAUAGAUAUGAGGAAACAAGCCUCUGUUUAAACACAAGCUGCCUGUAUAGUUUAAAAUAUUGUAAGAAAAAUUAUGUGGAGUUACAAAAUAUAAAUGGGUUUAAAUUUUUCAUCUUUAAAAAAAUGCAGUAUGUCAUAUUUAGGGUUUAAAACUUUGGUGGUUUCCUUCUAUACUAUGAAUAGCAAGUUAUAUGUGAUGAGUACCAGUUUUUCUCAGUUGCAGGAAGAGUCUUUCCCUCAUUAUCAUUCAGACUUCUGCACCAUGCUACUACUGUUCCAAUGUACCUGUGUUAAGAAGACAAUUCAUAAAAAAGUAAAUAAUUUAGAUUAGACAAAUUACCCUUAAUUAAAUUUGAACACAAAACUGACAGCAUUCAACAAUAAAUCUGGAGUAGGGAAUGGAACAGAAUAGAGAUAACCUCCAGGAUAUUCUUAUGUGAAUUUGAUAAAAGAGGAAAACAAGAAGCCUUCCAGAAUCAGUAAGCGAUUACCCAGUGAAGAAAUUUUUCCUUUUAUGAAUCCCAUAUAUAAAUGAAAAGAACCUUACUAUACAACUGAAAAUAUUAAUUAUGUUUAAAAAACCCACAAGGAACAUUACUUUGCAUUUAAUUUGUUGCUUGUAAAGCACUCUUUAGAGUUUAAGGUGAUAGACAGAAGAGGAGAUUAGAUACUGGAGAUAGAAAGAGACAGCUUAGUGGUCUAAAGCAUCAGAUUUGAUAUGCCCAAACUCACUGGAACCAAAACCAGAGUUUUAAAUGCUAUAUGGUCAACUCAGCCCUUAAACUUCAUAAUAUAGGAGUUCCAUGAAUUAAGUUCCAUUCAGUUUGAUACGCAUGUGAUUUGAAUGCAACUUUAAAACCGAGAUAUUGUCUGCUCUGCAUGGAUAUUAAAGAGUUCACAGGAAUUUUUGUAAGAAUACAGGUUGCUACAGGUUGUCCUUGACCACAGUUUCCCCACUCCUAUAUUGUAAAGUGUGCCAGUUGUCCACUUGGUUGCAUCUCAGUGAUCAAGUAAUUUCCAUUACAUAUAAUAUAUGAUGUGCACGGUUUGUCAAGUUACUUGGAUAAUCUUUAUGAUGAGAAGAGCUACAUAAAUGUAAGAUAUUACAUACAGCAUCUGAACACCCUAUGCAGCUGUCCAAGAAACAAUGGAUAAGGACAUGUUUUUUCUUUUAGAAAAACAACAUGUUGUUAUACUGCAUCAUUAACACAACUGCCUGCCAAUGAGCAAACUAAGGGCUUAAGUCCUGCUUCUCUUGUUUGCAUAUUCACAACAGCAGUCCCACUAACUUCAUUAGACUAUUUGUAUCAUCAUGGUGAGUAGAAUUGGCCUUAAAUAUAUGAAAGUGAUACAAGAUAAUUAACAUUAAAAUAAUUCAAGAAUUGCUAUCUGAUCAAAUUUGUGUUAAUAUUUGUAAAAAAAAAUAAUUCUUAGAGAAUUUAAGUUAAGCAAGUUUUUUGAACCCUUUAAAUAGCUGUGGAUAUCAGGUGUACCUAAGCAAAAAAGAAGUGCUCUCCCUAGCCCUUUUGUUUAGGAUGCAUUAUUUGAGCCCCCGCCCCCAAAAAACAACUAAAAAUAGCAUCACAGUUAGACCCCUUGGCAGUCCCUCCUGAGUGCAUCACUCAGAUGACAGGCUUUGCUUCCUUCACCUCCUAAUAGCUAUUAUUCAGAAUGAUGGAAAAAUGAUUAAAUUAAUAAGUGAAUAUCCCAUCAAAUUAACUGUCUAAAGCCCUGAGCUGUGCAAUCUGGAUCUUUGCUAGUCAGUCUGGUACAACCUUUUCUACAGUCUGUUUUACAGAAAAACAAACAUUCAACUAUUUACAUUUCUUGACACAAAAAACUUUUACUGAAUUCCUGAAUUUGUUUAAUUUGUUCCAUUCAUUAGCUAUACCUUUCAUAGAGUCCAGGAUGAUUUAUCUGGAUUAGCUGCUGCGCCCCAUCAGGACAGAUUAUUUUACACCAUCCUGUGGUAGCACCUUGAUUUAUCUUGGAAAAGAAAGACAAAAGAGCAUCAUUGUUCUGCAGUGGAAUCAAAGAGGUAUACCUACUUUAAAUAAAAGCAACAACAUAUGCUAGUUCAAAAAGAAAUAUCUGCAAAUUCUUCACCUAAACGUUUGUAUCUGGCUAUGGAUGUAAGGUGUGGUCUGGCAGCAUGAUCACAGAAACACCACCAACUGGGAGUUCCUGGUGCCAAGCAUUGCCCAAACACUGAUUUCAAUGUGCUGUCCGAGAAUAAUGGAAAAUUCAACCCCUUCACUUCCUGUCUGACCCUGUCUGAAGAAAUGUCCAGUCUUUCAGAAUUUUUAAUUCCUUCUAUUUUCAUCCAUAGAAUGAGGUUAUAGAUUUGUCCUGAUCCUCACGUUCUCUUAUUGUUACAGUAGCAACUUCAUACAAAUGAAACAUCAUUUCUUAACAAAUCUUACUCUGCAUGUACUGAGUCACAUCUGCUAAUGCUUCCUCCCCCCCCCCCCCAAGUACUUUUUACUUUAGUUGAAAUGCUAACACAACAGAGCUACAGAAGAGUAAGUUGGAUUCUUCCCCCUAAAGCAUUAUCUGUGGAAUUGUUAAACAUGCAUCAUUGCUGGUAAUAAGACUUGCCAUUGAAUGAACUAGAAAUCACAUAGCGUUGAUGGUGGGAGUGAGAGUUGCUGAGUUUGCAACUUGACACUCAGGGGAAAAAAAAAAAAAAAAAAAAAAAAGUAGUAUUUUUUGCUUGAAAACUGAAUUGAUUUACAAAAUAAAUAUGGAAUCCCAUUUCCACGUCACUUAUCACAGAGGAAGCAUAUAUUGCAAUAUUAUUAUUUGCUGAUAGAGAACGUAUUUAAUGCCAAAAAAAAAAAUCUAAAAAGUUUGACACUCCUUUUUGUAAGAAUUAAGAUAAAAGUGUGCUUGGAAAAUGUGUUUAAUAUUUAUUAAUUUCUUAGAGGAUGCAGAAGAAGGGCAAGAACGAUGCUCUCGGCUAGAACUAACCAGCUACAGCUCACAUGCCUUUAGAUAUGAUCAGCACUGGCCUAGUAAGCUUGCUUAAGUAUGGCUUGCUAGAGGAAAUUAAUAUGGUUUCCUUGUCCAGUGUAAACAGGACUUCAAGUCAGUCUUGGUGAUUUACCCAUUUUUGUAAAGUUGGUAAUACUACAUAAUUUGUAAAUGUAAGUGAAGUUAUACCCCAUCCUUUUACUUUAACACUUUUUCUGAGAGGAUAUGAUCAUCCGAGAUAACAAACUCCAUUUCAAAUU